UAAUAUUUACUCUUUAAGAAUUGACAGAAUGUCCUUCACCUCUAAAGAUGCGUCUUUUUUUUUUAAAUCACUGGUGUGAUAUUUUGUGCUAAGACGUGGAGCUUCAGUGACUCCACCCACCUGGAUUACUUCAUAUGCAGCCUUAGCAACAAAACCAAAGACAAUCUGACUGGAGCAAAAUGAUCCUCUUCAUCCUCUGCUGCGUAAGCCUACAUAUCACACUUGUUUCUGGUUCUUCUCCAAGUGACCAAAUCGUCCAGAUUCCAGCUGACAUGUUCAAAAGCCCUGGAGAAACGGCCAAGAUCAGCUGCAGUCACAGUAUCCCAGACUACGAUCGCGUCCUCUGGUACAAACAGUCGAAGCUUCAUGAGAUGAAGCUCCUGGGAUACAUGCUGGGAGACAACGGAUAUCCAGAGAAGGAGCUCAACGUGAACAUAGACGGGAGCGCGAACAGAGACAAAAACAGCACUUUAACCGUCACAGAGCUCAGCCCAGACAGCAGUGCAGUUUAUUACUGCGCUGCUCGCUACCACAGUGCUGCAUAUCACUGCUGCUCAGCGCAAAAACCUCCUCACAGGUGCAGCUGUGUUAGCUCUGGGGUCCUGAUAGUUUUAGGCUUUUCAUUAUAGUUUACGUUUAUUUUUGUUGGGACUCUUUGUUCGUCUGAUUCAGUUAGUUUUAGAGUGUGUUAAAAUGUGUU